rnacentral:rRNA from 1 species
AACGUAGGACGCAAGCGUUAUCCGGAGUUACUGGGCGUAAAGCGCGCGCAGGCGGCUCGACAAGUUCGAUGUGAAAGCGCCCGGCUCAACCGGGCGAGGCCAUUGGAAACUAUCGAGCUGGAGGGCAGUAGAGGCAGGCGGAAUUCCGGGUGGAGUGGUGAAAUGCGUAGAGAUCCGGAGGAACACCAGAGGCGAAGGCGAGACUCUGGGCAAAUUCUGACGCUGAUGCACGAAGGCUAGGGGAGCAAACGGG